CGCGGGGUGGAGCAGUGGUAGCUCGUCGGGCUCAUAACCCGAAGGCCGUCGGUUCAAAUCCGGCCCCCGCAACCA
rnacentral:tRNA from 1 species